CUGAGAACUCUUCUUCUGCCACACGUUGUACUUGGAGUACUUGGCGUGAGAUGGCUUCUGGAAGCUCUCCUGGGGAAGGGAGAACAACACAGAGUCAAUACAAGGCAGCUAGCAUCCCGAGUGCAGCCCUACCUUGUUGAGGGCUGGGAGGCCCACGAGGGAGGUGGCAGAGAGGUCACGCUCUGACUUGACGGACUUGGCACAGUAGGUUUCCAGCAGAGCCAGGUCACAGCUCCGAAAGCAGCACUCCUCCACAAUGCCACGGUUGAUCCUCCUGUUAUUUCGUCCCACUGGUCUACCUGUAGGGGCAGAGGCCUGAGCAUUAGCCAUCAAUGUAGACCAUAGCUUCGUCACCCUUUACCCAUUGCUCCCAAAGCACUCAUCUCCUUUGACAUAUGCCUGCAAAAUGCCUGAGUUUCCCAUGAUGACUUUCCUAGACAAACACUCUCAAUGCUGACGGGGUUCCUGGUGUGCGCAUGACACUAAUUAAAGGCACUUUCUAUUGCUGUAAUUUACUCCCUUCCUAUUGCUCCUUAGCAAGCCCAGAGCGGGCAGCAGUCCGGAUGCAGACGCCGCACCGAUUACCACAAAUGUCUGUGAUGUUGAUCCUGGCAAGAGAGUUUUAUUAGAAAGAAGCAGCGCGGCACUGCGGCUGCCAACCUCCCUCUGCCGUGUUGACGCUUGGGCAGGUGAAGCGAACCAACGUGGCUAAAUUUUACCAGAUGGGAUAGCUCGUAGACAGCUGCAGAAAGAAUACAGGCCCAUGACGGCAUGCCAAGAAUAGCUAUUAAACUUAAUCUUUUAAUAAGGGUUCCUCUCCUGUUUCUUCCUGAAGAAGGAUGCAAAAACCAGUGUCCAGUGCAGCAACAACCAAGCGCAUCUCAUGUCAGUAUUUAAGUACAGACAAAACACUCCAGAAGGAAGGCUCGGAUCAGCUUCAUUUUGUUCCUUUCCCUCUUGAAAGAAAAUCAAUGGGUAAAUUUGGAUUUUGGGUUCAAAACAAAUGUGGUUGGGAACAGCAACUUCCAAAAUGUAUAACAGUCCCAAACCAGACAGUUUUCUCUGGGCCUUCAUACACUGUGCCAAGGCAAAGGGCUGAAGUGGAGAGGACCAGUGCCCACACUGGAGCAGAAGCCAGGAUCAGUGGAGUUGCAAACGAGACCCAGGAACCACAGCCCAGCUGGGGGAAUGCUUCCUUGACCCUGUGUACAACCCAUGAUCCCUCCAUUUGCUCCACAUGAAGGCACUCAAGACUUCAGGCUUUGGCUUGCAAGGUGUUGACUGAUUUCCUCAUGGGGAACUCCAUCUGGAUGGCCACCCAAAGUGCCCCAGGACAAGAUGCAAAGCCAAAACAUAUUCUACGUGUGCUAUGCAAGCACACAUUCAGUACAGCCCUAUGUAUAUAGCACCAGCAUGCAAAACACACCAUGACCUUACCUCAACACAAACUCUGCAAAAGCAAAGCCCCUGGCAGCACAGCACCUGCUAUCUGUCAAACUCAGCCCUCGCUCCAUUUGCAGUGAGCCCUCUGCUCUGCUUUGGAGCAUCACCACCCUGUACUGAGGUCACGAAAGCAAACGCAGUAUCGGGUGCAUCACAAUAAAGCAACUGACUCAUA